ACACAGGAUGGUAGGCAGAUAGCUGACCUCCCACCCAGGGCCCUGCCUCCUACCUGUGCUA
rnacentral:pre_miRNA from 1 species